UACGUAGGCAGCGAGCGUUGUUCGGAGUUACUGGGCGUAAAGGGUGUGUAGGCGGUCCUUUAAGUUUGGUGUGAAAUCUCCCGGCUCAACUGGGAGGUGCGCCGGAUACUGAGGGGCUAGAGUGCGGGAGAGGAGAGUGGAAUUCCUGGUGUAGCGGUGAAAUGCGUAGAUAUCAGGAGGAACACCCGUGGCGAAGGCGGCUCUCUGGGACGGUACUGACGCUGAGACGCGAAAGCGUGGGGAGCGAACAGG
rnacentral:rRNA from 1 species